rnacentral:rRNA from 1 species
UACAUGGGGUGCAAACGUUGCUCGGAAUUAUUGGGCGUAAGCGCACGUAGGUGGUUUGUUAUGUCGGAUGUGAAAGCCCUCGGCUCAACUGAGGAAGUGCAUCCGAAAACUGGCAAGCUAGAGUAUUGUAAGAGGGUGCGGAAUUCCCGGUGUAGAGGUGAAAAUUCGUAGAUAUCGGGAGGAACACCGGUGGCGAAGGCGGCGACCUGGGUAGAUACUGACGCUGAGGUGCGAAAGCGUGGGGAGCAAACAGGG